ACGUUUACGGCUCCCCACCACGUAACCAAACGAGUGCUUAGCUUUUUCAAAUCGAUUCUCUACUGUGGAAAUACACUAGCAUCUAUUUGUCUCUUUUGCCCUUGAAUCUCAACACUUCCUUUCACAUACCUUUUCAAAUCUGACAAAGCCCUUCACGGUGUCUGCAUGCUUUGUCAUGUUGUUGUAAAAAAAUAUGUUUGUACUGUUGCUGUGGUUUUUUCUUCUUCUGUGUGUUGCAAAUAAAUCUCAAGGUUGAAGAUGACACGUUUUUUGAGAAGAAAUGGUCUUUUGUCUUCUUGCUCUUUAAAAGCCCAUCAGUAUCAGGUAUCCAUUUAUUUUAUAGAAAAAAAAAUUCAUAUAUAACUACGAAUUUUACUAGUUACCAAUUACAUUUUUAAUUCCCUAAAAAAAAUACAUUUUUAAUAAUUUUAUAAAAUGCAACAUAAAAAUAACUAAAAAUGGAAAUGAAAGUUGUAGACAAAAAUAAACGAAAUAUAGUGUUGAAUGCACACAUAUAUGAAAAUCCAUUUUGGUCAUUUACACACCCAAAAGUAAUUUUGACACCAAAUAUCCAAACAAAAUCUUUCAUACAAAUAACUUCAAUUGUGAAGGUAACCAAACAUAAACCACUUUACAUUAAACUCACUUUUAACUAUAAUCAAUUUUGUAAAAUCAGUUCAAACAAAAUCAAUUUUCUCCACAGCAAAAUCAAACACACACUAUAUGAAUUAAUAGCAAGGUAAUAAGAAAAGGAAUAAACAAAAUAUAAAAAAAAACUACAACAUGAGAAAUGGUACUCCGUGUGUACUGACGUGAGUGGUUUAUGGUUAUAUUUCUUUUACUAGAAGUGGGUAGUUACGUUUUUUUUAAAGAAAAUGUGGGUAGUUACAUAUAAACGUGGGUAAUUUUUUCUAUUAAAAAUUAAAUAAAAUAAAAUUAAUAAGGGUAAAAUUGAAAUAAAAUAUAAAAAGCUAUAAUCUUUAAGCUCAAAAGCUACUUGAAUUAACUUCUCAUAAAAAGCUAUAAGCUGGUGAGAAAAACUUAUUAUCAAACACGUCAUAUUUUGAUCCAACAAACUUAUAAACUAAUUCAACAAAUUAUAAACUAGCUUCUCGAGGUUACCAAACAUAACCUAACUGUGUCAAUAUUAAUAAGUUAUUUUCAAACACACUCUAAUGAUGUAGAUAAGAGUUGUUGCAUUAAAGUAGCUAAAUAUUUGACAAAAGUGCAUUCAUUUUAAGGAUCGUUGUUACUUGGUGGAUAAAGCAAAAAAUAUGACAAUUCAUUCAACAAUUUAAAAUAUUUGGACUACUUAGCAUCAUAUUAAUAACGAUGUGUCCUAAUCCAAUUAUCAUGGGUCCUAACCCUAUUAUCAUAGAUUAUAAAAAGCAUUAGUAACGACGAAUAUUUUGAUGAAGUAAGAUACAAAACCAAAAGGCAAGAAAAAAAUAAAUUAAAGAAGAACGUGGCGAAAGAAGUCAACAUCAAUGUUGACUUCAAACUAGGAGUAAUUGCCUGUUUGACAUCUUUAUUUUUGAAUAACGUUUCCAGCUAGACAAAUAAUCGAGUUUUCAUUUUUUUAAAAUUUUUCAAAAUUAAUAAUUCAACAAAUUAUUGAAAGAAACUUUAAAUAAACGACAAUAAGUUUACAUCAAAUAUUUAUGACGACCAUCUCUCAACUUUGAGAUUUUCUUUUAUCAUGAUUCAUGAUGAGUAUCUAAAACUCAACUAUAAGAGUUUUUGCAGGAGCUCUAAUUAUAUAUUUUGUUAACAUACAUAAAUUUCUUUAUAAAUAUUUAGGUAAUAUGUCUGUAUAAAUUAUUUUAUAUAUUAUAUAUUUUUUAAUUGCUUAACUAUGUGAACGUAUUAGUAUUCACUAACUAGUCAAAAAAUGUAUCUUCACAUCUUAUCAAUCACAACAUAUGAAGUCAAUGGACCAGUCAAAAUCUCUUAUGUCGACUACUUAUAAUUUGGACAAGCUAACAUAACAAACAAAAAAGCAAAAUGCGAGUUUUGUUUUUCAAUUAUAUUGGAUGGAUAACUGCAAAUUUAAUGGGAAGGUUCAUAUUUUGGUUUGAUGCACACAAUCUCUUGGAUUUGAAUUGACAUAUUUAAGUUAAUCACACUUGCAAGGAGAACAACUAUAGUGCAGAUUGACUUAUCAAUUUUAAUUUUACUUUUGAUUCUUUAAAUUGUACUAUUGUGGAGACUCGUGCAAGUGUGUUUCAUAAGCAUUUGCCUCAAUAAAUUACUUGUAAUACUUAUGAUAUCUAUAAAUAUAGUUGGUUUUUAUUUUCAUUUUAGAAUAAUUUUUUUAAGGGUCUUGCUAGAGUAAAAUGACUGGUGAUGAAUUUGUUUGUACACCUUAAAUUUUUUCUACAUUCAUUUACAUUUUAUUUUCUCUCUUAUUGUCGCAUCAUAAACUAUACUUAUCACUUUACUCUAUUAUUUCUAUGUCUGUCAAGGUGUAUAAGAAAUGUAUGAAUAUUUCUCUCAAAAAAAAAAGUAUGAAUAUUGGCUCUUUCGCAACAAAAAUUGUAAAACGGAAAAGAAAGGACAAUCGAAAGAAAGUAGUAGUUAACAAAAGAAUACAUAUAAUAAGGGUUUUGUUAACCAGUGUUCUAUGAACACUCGUCAAAAAAUCUUUACAUAAAAUUUUUUAUUAAAAACUUAUCUAUUUUGAUUGCUUAAUAAUAUUGCGCACUAAUUAAUAUUUUUCAUAUAUGAUAAUGUAUCAAACCAUGAAGCUAAUCAUUGAAAGUGUUAUAGUAUCAUUUUAUCAAAAAUAAAAAAGUGUUGUAUCAUUAAUAAUAAUCCACAACAAAUUGUAAUUUAUAUAAAAGAAACAUCAAUUAUAAACAAGUCUAAUACUAUACACACAAUGGAAAAAAGUUGUCUAAAGCAAUAGAUUAAGAGAUGAUCCUCAAUUUGCAAGCCGUGUCUCCUACCUACUCAAGUCACUUUCAUAAUAUUAAUAUUAGUGGAGGAUAGCUAUUUGGGUCAAUGUUACCAAUUAUUUGUCUCUAAAUAUGCAAAAUAAUACUUUGUUUCCCUUGCUGAAAUUCCAUAUGCUUUGCUUUACUCAAGUUUACGUCAAUAUAAUUUGCAUUUUUCUCUCUUUAUAAUUGUGUGUUUGGUAAUUGGUGUCCACAUAAAGGAAAAGCAAAUACUAACUUUAUUCUUUGUGAUUAUUAAUUAAUUAAUAAGGUCAACAGAGUAGCAUAAGCACAAGAUUGGCUGCUUAGGCUAAACAAGUGAAAAACUAAUGACUCAUCCAUACCAUUGUCUAUCUUACCUAAUGGAUGGUACACCAAUCCUAUGUAUUGUCUGGUUCUGUCCAAAUUAUCGAGAGGCAAUCAUAAGGAGCUGAAAGUAUAUGAUUUUUUUAAUUUAUUUUUAAAGAGUAACAACAUGAACUUUAAAAUUAUAAUAUCUCCAUGCGGAGUAGGCAAAGGCUAGAACAUACAUAGAAAUAAUUGUGGCCAUGUAGGUGAGUACGUGGACAAUUUGGAGGUUACAAAGCACGGAUAUUCAUCGGAUUAGGCGUGUCUUGGUGUCGGACACGACAGACACGUGUCGUGUUCAACACUGACACGAUACUAACACAUAUAAUUAUACUUAGUUAUGUGAUUUUCUCAAAUUAUUAGUGUGUCGACUUGUUAGUGUUCGUGUCGUGUCCGGUAUCCAUGUUUGUGUCCGUUUCCGUGCUUCAUAGUUUGAAGGUUAUGAAGAAUUGAUUAUUAUGUAAGUAAAGAGCCAUCCACGAUUACUCUAAAAUAAUUUUAUAUAUUUGAUAUCCAAUGAGAGUCUUUCUAUUUAUUCAUAUCAUCUCACUAUUUUUUAAAACCAAUUGACCCAAUGCUUCAAUACCUCUAUUAAAAACUACAAAUUGUAGAGUCUAAUUGACAUACGUUUUGACCUAUGUCCGACGAUAAAUAUUUGGACCAUACGAGUCGACGUAAUUUCAUAGGAGGAUUAAGUAAACAUAAUAGGGAGGCGACCACCCUCGCCCUUUCUAACUAUAAAGUUAGAACAUGGAAAAGGAUCAAGAAUAGCUAAUGAUAUCUAUGUAGCCGUUCGUAUAUAUGUCACUUGAUCACAUCAUAUAUACUCCUAACCAUAGUUUUCAGAAUCGGCUCGGUCAUCGACUCGGCGGGGGUACUGGGUCAAUGGGUCAAUGGUCGAAGCAGUGAGUCAUUGGUCGAACCGCAUGACUGAACCGGAACCACUCGGAUGACUCGGUUAGAUAACUCGGUCCUUAGAUUAAAUUUAUAUAGUUAUAUAACCGGAUUAACUCGGAUUUAAUCGGUGACUCGGUCACUUUAGAAACUAAAAUAAUGACCCCUAUAAAAUAAGAAAAAAACUAUCCAACAAUAAUAAUUUCAUAGCUAAUUGCUCAAAUUCAAAACAUAGUCAUAACUCAAAAUACAUCUUGGUAGUAAAAAUCCAAAUAGAUCCCAAAAAAGUAUGAUUCCAACAUAAAUUAAAAAAAGAGAUUGCCCCUGUUAUAAAAAUUCAAAAAGAUCCCAAGAAAAUAUAAUUCCAACACAAGUAUUAUCAUCAAUAACAUCUUAAUUCCAAGGAGUCAAUAUUGAUUGAAUUUGAAGCUCAUCAAGGAAUUCAACAUCUUCUCCAGCAGCUUCAUCAAAAACAUUACUUUGAUCCAUGUUUUCUGCAUUAGUGUCAGGUGCAUCAUUGCCAUAAUCAUCAUCCUCAUCCUCAUCCAAAUUCAAUCCAUCUAUGAAAACAUCAAUUUAAAUAAAUAUUAACAAUUGGUAUAUAACCAUAUAGUGAAAUUAUGAAAUUUUAACCUUAUAAGAAAACACAUACAUACCAAUAUCAUUUGAAAUAGGUUGGAUGGUCAUAUUGGCAAGAUCAUUGCGUAAUGAUUCCAACUCCUCAACUGUUAAAAAUGGCGGUGAAUCCUCCAACACCCAAUUAUCAUGAUGAUCAUGAAGUAAUUCAUCAUUGAUGGGGUCAUAGUUUCGAAUUUUGUUGUUCCUAUAAUUCAUUAUAAAAAUAUAAAGAUUUCUAUCUAAAUGUAAAAAUAAAAAAUGAUGAACAUAUAAGGUUUAUUGUGAACAAUCUCAUUAUGCAAAGAAACAAACACUAUUUUAUCAAUGGAUUAAUAUAACUAAAAUAUAGUAGAAAUACAUACCUAUUUUCUAGCAUUAAGUUGUAACGAACAAAGACUAGAUCGUUAAGCCUUUGAUGCUCCAACCUAUUUCUUUUUUUUGAGUGAAUAUGCUCAAACACACUCCAGUUUCUCUCGCAACCAGAAGAGCUACAAGUUUGACUUAGAACCCGAAUUGCCAAUUUUUGCAAAUGUGGUGCUUGACACCCGUAAAGUUCCCACCAUUCAUCUAUAAAAUUGCAAAAUUUCAUCAAUUAAUACAGUAUUACCGUAAGUUUAUAUGAUACAAUGAAAGGUAAGAUAUUUGUAAAUGGAUCAUCGUAAGUGUAUAUGAUACAAUGAAAUGUAAGAUACCUGGAAAUGGUGAAUUUCGAGCUUCUACAGCAGAUUUCCUUCCAAAGUCGCCCUCGGAAUUUCUAAAUAUACUUGUCUCAGUAUUUAACUUUGCUCGCAACUCAUGAUUAUUACGAGCAUACUUUUCAAUGACAUCUAUAAGACCAGAUGUGGUGGACUUGUGUUUCUCAAACUCAGGACUGAAUCUACAAGAUGGAUUUAACCAAUAACCAGCAGCAUGAAGAUUUUUUCGAAGUUGUGAAUCCCAUCGAUCAUCUAUGAUCUUCAAGUAAGGCUCCACUUUUGUCUUAUUUCUUUGAAACCUCUUCACCAUCUCCUCUCUAGCCUUAUACAUAUUUCUGUAAAGAAAACCCAUAGCAGGUUUAUCUUCACUGUCCACGAGACGCAACACACAUACAAGUGGUUAUGUGAGUUUCACUAUGUCAGCACAAGCAGUCCAAAAGUUAGUGUUCAAGACUUGUUCCACAAAUUGUUUGGCCUUGGCUUCUUUUGCAUAAGCAGAAGUUGUCCAUUCUUGAGAUGUUACCAUGGCUCUAAGUGCAUUUUUCUGAGACAAAAUACUCUGCAAAGCAAUGAAAUUAGUGGCAAAGCGAGUUGGAGCAGGACGAAGUAUCUCUCUUCCAUGAGUAAAUUUCCUCAUCAAAUACAAUGGAUAGCAAUGAUUAUAUAUAUACUUGGUAACAUUUGUGGCAUGUGAAACUGCCUCUUUAACUUCAGGUAAUUUUCCAAUGUCUUGAAACAUCAAGUUAAUGCAAUGAGCUGCACAAGGAGACCAAUACAGGCCAGGGAACUCUUUUUCCAAUAACCUACCAGCAGCAACAUAGUUUGCAGCAUUAUCUGUCACUAUCUGAACAACAUUUUCAGGGCCAAUAUAUAACACUAUUUCCUUGAAAAGCUUAAACAACAUCUCACCAGUUUUUGAAGCACCUGAAGCAUCAACAGAUUUGAUAAAAACUGUUCCUUUAGGGCAAUAAACUAAAAAGUUUAUCAGAGUUCUCCUAACCCCGUCAGUCCACCCAUCUGCCAUAAGAGUACAACCAGUAUUCUUCCAAAUCUCACGGUAUUUCUCUAUCUUUUUCUUUGUUUCAUCAACCCACUUAUUUAGCAAAGGACCACGCAAAUCAUGUAUAGAAGGAGCUUUAUAUCCGGCUCCCAUGCAACAAAGAGCAUCGACCGCAGACUGAAAAUAUGGUGAAUUUGCUGCAUUGAAGGGAAUAGAUGCAGCAAUGAACCAUUUUGCAAGUGCAAGAUCACACUUUUCUACAACUUCCUUGGUUUGCAAAACACUUUUUAUAGUAGGCUGUGAUCCAGGAGUUGUUCUAGGCAAAAAGUAAUUAUCAAAGCUUCCAUUGUUCGUUCCCUUUUGAGAUGCAACAACCACUGACCUAGGUUGUUCUCUUUGUGUUUGCUCUUCAUUACCUAUUGCAUGUUCAGUUUUUCUUUUCUUGAGCCUUGUCUCUUCACGAUUUUGUUUCAUCUUAAAGCGGACUUCUUCAGGAGCUUGGCUGCAUGCUUCGACUUGUCCAGUUUCUCCAGCCAAGUGUAACUUUAAUCUAUUAAUUCCACCUCCCUUCAUAACUUUGUUACAAUAGAUACAUUGUGGUUUUUCUUUGUCACUGUCUAGGACAAUUUUAGCGUGACCCCAAGCUAUAUCGGUUUUUGCCCUAACAUUCCUUUGAGUUUGAGAUUCUUGAGUCGAAGCUUCUGCUGAUGGUUGUGUUGGUGCUUCAGAAGAGGCCAUAACUAAUCACAAAUACAUAUGAUAUAUCAGAGACAUUUACAUUACAUUUACAUGGAAUUAUGAAACAAUCAGAAUUAAACAUUAACAUGAAAUGAACCAUUUAACAAUCAGUUUAUCAGAAUCAACAACGUACGUGGAAUGAGGAGUAUAAAACAGAGGAGAGGAGAGGAGUCAGUAUAAAACAUGUAGUAAGUAUAAAACAGAGGAGUCAACAUUAAACAUGGAAUGAGGAAUCAACAUAUAAACAAUCAGAGAUUCAGAAUUAAACAUGAAAUUAAACAUUAAACAAUCAGAAUCUACAUGAAAUUAAACAUUAAACAAGAAAUCAAAACAACAAAUCAAAAAGAAGCAAAGAAUAACAAUCUAAAAAAAAAAAGGGUUCUCUGCAACGACGGUGUACGUACGUGAGAUAAGCGGAAGCGGAAGCGGCUAUGGCGAGGGCGACGGCGACCUGGAGUUUUCGCGGCGGCGACGGAGAAUGGCGUGGAGUGGACCGGUUUCGUUUUAGCUUCUCUUCUCUCUGUACGUGAAAACUAAGAACAGAGUAUGAGGUUUCGUUUUAGCUUCUCUGACCCUUCUAAUUCCGUUUUUUUUUUUUUUUUUCAAUUAACAAAUCCAAAACGACGUCGUUUUGGUAAGCAAAAAAAAAAAAAAAAAAAAAUUGAACCGGUCUGACCCACGACUCGGCCGAGUCACCGGUUUUGGCCGGUUUUGACCGGGUUAUCUGCAUGGCCGAUCCAAAUGAUGGCUCGAACCGGCCUACCCACCGGUUCACGGUCCGACCGGUCCGACCGGCCGGUCCGAGCCGAGUCUGAAAACUAUGCUCCUAACGACCAAAUAUCCUUCUUACAUUGAAAAGGUAUGUGUAUGUCCUCUCGUACCUUAUCAUAUCAUUGUCACCAUUUAAGGUUAGUGGUGUAAUAAUGUCUCCCAAACACACACUACAUCUUAAAAUUUAUGAUAUAAAGUAGUAAAAUAGUAUUUAUUGAAUCUCAUUAAAGUUCACUUUAGCAAUAGCUUACACAAGAUAGUACACACCUCUUAAACUAGCAUGCUCAUCCUACAAAGCCUAAUUCAUCUAGUCAUUUGGAAAUAUUUACUUUAAAUACUGUCCUGAACGCCAGUUGUUUUAAUUUUUAACCACAAAAUCUCACAUUGUGGAUUAUCUUUAGUUUUGAUUAUUAUUCUCAACCACAUAAUUGAAGAACUCUACCAUUUUUGCUAAAAAUGUUUCAACAGUUUCUGUUUUACAGCUGUUAGCAUGUCCAAUUGCCCAUUAUUUUGGAAUUCAUGAUUAUCGAUACUUCCUUUCUUGUGAAUCCAAAACUGUCAUACUCGUUCUACUGGCACUUUUGAGGUUACGGAGUGCUUGCAAGAUUUUUGUACACAAAGGUUUGUCUCGUUGGCAUACUGCAAAAUAUCUUUGUAAAUGUUCUGGCAAAGCAUUUAAGAUUGUUCUGCUAAUAUUACCCACGAAGAUCUUUCACUGCUAGUGAAGUAACUUCCAAUUUUGUAGAGUAUAUCCAUAAAAAUAUAGUCGUAGGUUUGGCUCCAUAAUUUAAUUUAAAAUAAUCACGAGCAGUUUCAAUAGUUUUACACAUCAAUCUGCUCAUUUUUCUUGUUUAUUCACAUUGAAAGAUGUUGACAUGUAGAAAAUUCACAUUGAAAGAUGUUGACAUGUAAAAAAUGAUAGCCUGGAUAUAGAAAACUACAUGUAGGUUCAACAGUUUUGCACCAAUCGGUUCAUUUUCCUUGUUUAUUCAAUUUGAAAAAUGUUAAUUAACAUAUAAAUGUGUAACCCAUUUUUACACAUUUUGGUCUCUAAAUGUGUGACAUCACGUGUCCAUGUCAAUACUUGGCAUUAGAAAACAAUUUUCUGUUUUAACUUUUUAAAUUAUAAAACUCUUACAUUGUUUCUACUCUGUUUUAUGUUUUAAUAUUUAAAUAAUUUCUACUUAAAACAAAACUAUUAUCAUUUUUUUUAGAGGAACAAUACUAUCUAUUAUCAUUUUUUCCUGUACAAACUUUGAAAAUAUUAUCACGGUUUCCUGAAAAUUAAAAGUAAAAGCGGGAUGAAAAUGUAAAUGUUUUCUCAAACCAAACACUUGGUUUAUCCAAUGGAUGUGUCUCAGUUGUUUAAGGAGUGAGUGAUUUGCUUGUAGAAUAAUGUUGCAUUUCUCUAUCUGCGGCUUGGUGCUUAGAAUACGUGAAGAGUUUUAAAUUACAAUCCAAACACUCGAGGGAAAUCGGUCUCAUAAGUCAUAACUCAUCUAAAGGAUUGAAACUUGAGGAAAUACUAUGUAGAGUUACUAAGAUGUCAAAUAGAUAAUUUCAAAUCUCAAGUUUAAUUGUCUCCAUUGCUAAUUUUGGUGGGUUAGUUCAUGCACAUCAAUCUGACUUUAAAUGAGGCUCCCGCAAGUAAACAACGAGAUUCAACCCUUUGGAUUAGUCGAUCAUUUGAUCGGAUAUAAAAAAAAAUUAAAAAAAUUGAAUACACUAAUUAUGUUGUUUACGUUGUACAUAACAUCCUGAUUUCUUGUAUUCAAUAUGUGAACAAGAUAUUAGAUACCUUCAAAUCAGAGUAAAUAAUCAUUUUUUUUUUUAAUGGUUUUGCUAAUGAGUGGCUUAAACACUCUUUAAACAUUUUAAAAUAAUCAAUUAUUCUUUAAAAAAGUCAAAUAUUUCGAUUUUCAAUGCAUUGAAUAUACAUUUUUUUUCAUAAAUACUUACAAUUUAUGGAUCUUUAAGAGUGUCCAGGAGAUACUCGUUAGAAUUUCCCUUUCUUAAAUGGUAAUACUUAAUAAGCAUUCUAUCUUUCUAAGACAUCAAUACAACACGUAAAAAAAAAUACUAAAUAGUCUAAUGCCACUAUCCACUUGCAGAAUACCCAUUUAAAGCCAAAGUAAAGUUAUAUAUAGACUAACCCACCUAAAUUGAUACCAUGCAGAAUCAAACUUGAGACCUAAAGAGUAGCACACUCCAAACUCUCAAACCAGCAAUACUAAAGCCAACCAAGUGGGUUGGAGAAACAAAACCUUUAAUAGCAUGUUUGAAUAACAGCCCUUGCUAGCGUCAAAAGAUAACAUUAUUACCAUCCAAGCAAAAUCAAUUUUUUUAACCUCUAUUUCUCUUGGUUUCAAUUGUUCAAAUCAAUUCUAUCAAAUUUUAGACAAUUCAAGCAAUAAUCUAAAAGGUACAACCCACAAUUAGGACAUAACCCGUCCAUACUGGAACUGCAUGUCACAAUCUCCCCCACUUCUCCUCCACUCCAUUAGAGCCACUAUUCCAAUGGCGUAUGUAAUAGGCUCAUAGAAAGAGACAACUAAAGAGAAAAACAGUUCAUCUAAGUACUUUUUUGAAUUCUGCUCUUUACCAAAACGGUUUUACUCAUUCCCAAAGUAAAUGUUCAUAUUAUCCCUGCGUGAGUUAACAUGUACUCCGUGAGUUAACUCACGCCAGUCAUAAAAAAACAAUUUUUUCACGGGAGUUAAGUCCCGCUAAACCACUUUCAGAAGAAUACUAUGAUAGUGCAUUUUCAUAGUGCAUUUGUCAUACAAAGUAGAAGCUUAGUUUCAUGUAACAAAAAGAAAAAAAACAAAUGAAAAAAGGGUUCCUAGCUAGAUAAGAAAUUCAUAUGUGAUAGCUUGAAUUAAGAAUAUUGGAAUCUAAUGAAAUUUAUAUGUAGAAGUUGUAGAAGAAACUUUAUGAUGAACUUGACUCAUCUAAUUCAUCAGCUAACAACAAAUUAAUAAUGCUUUUCUCCUUGCUCAGAGAAAUCACGUGUGAAGAGUGGUGUGGACAUCCUAGCUUGCGACACGAAUUUGGAAGAAGAAGCAUGCAUAUGUGACAAUACAUGACUGAGAAUAAAAUAGUAAAUUCGGCUGCUUUUUGUUAGAGAUGAUGUCACAUGAAUAUAAAAGUAACUAGAAUUGUAGCGUGAGUUAACUCACGCGAGGUGUAAAUGGCAACGUGAGUUAACUCACGCAAUGUGUGUUAACUCACGUUGGCAUUUGUACUAGCGUGAGUUAACAUGAAUAGGGUUAUUUUGGUCAUUUAUUUUGGAAAUGAGCGAAACCGUUGGGUAAAAGAGCAGAAUUCUACUUUUUUUAGUGUUUAUUGUUACUUUCAGCUUCAUCCCCAUGUCUGUGACAAAAACUAAAACUAAGCAUGUGAUUCUUAAUAACACAUUCCAAACCCAAGUCUCGAAGACAACUCACGUCUAGGUAACCAGAAAAGAAUAAAGUGCAGUUGCUAAGUAUCAGACUAAGAUGUGUCUACUUUUCUCAAGUGUGACGAAUUUCUUUAAGGCCGGAGAAAGUUGUCGAUGCUAGUGAAAAUAAGAAAUGCAUGAUGAUAAUAUAUAGCAGUUAUGUUGAAACUUGCAACUACGUCACAGGGAUUGGUAUUAUAAUAUAUAGCAGUUACUGUUAUUAUAGUUCUCCAUUUGAAAGUCAAGUAAAGUAUCAUAUCAUGCAUGAUGAUCUUAAUAACUUGGAUAACUGUAACUUUUGCUCACCAAAAGAUCAAACUGAGGUGAAUUUUAAUGGGAACUGGUAUAAAUAAGCAUCUUUCUGAAAAUAAGAAAUGCCAAGAAUAACUUUAUACAAAAAUUUCACAAUAAUUUAUACUUUUGAAUGAACUUUGGGCAAAGGCUUUAUCUUUUCCAGAAACUUCUCCGCUUCAAUGAAACCAAGUGGUCCGAAAGACAAGUAUUUUAUACAUCUCCAUCUGCUUAAACUCAUGAAGGGGCAUUUUUAAGUAUUCACACAGCAUACAUGAUAAUCUUAAGCAGGCGUAUAGUAACCAGAAAGAUUAAUACCUGGGUGUAUAUGGUAGCGCCAUACAAUGGAGGUGUAGGUGGUUAACAGAAUUCAGUGGAGGUUGAUGAAAGCCAAAUCUGUAAGAAAUAUGUCAGAUAAAAAAUCACAUGGUCGUGUUUUGUUGAAGAACAGAUAUUAACUUCAGGUCAAAACAACAUCCUGCUUUUAAUGCAGUAGCUCCAGUGAUCAAUUAUUGUUCUUGCUUCUCUAGUCAUGGCAUUAAGUCCUUGCUCAAGAAAAUCAAUUAAGUUUAGUAACCUAGGUUUCACUUGCGUAUUCAAAGAUAAAUCUUAUUUUUUAAAUAUCCUAAUGUGACUGAUGAAUAUAGGCAAGUCAAAUUAGUAUAAAUGGGCAAUCAAUCUCCAAUCUAUCUUUAUAUGGCCCUUAAUUUUUCAACACUCCUUUUCUCCAUAGUUACCUUGAUUUUUUUUUUUUUAAACAGCUUAUAUAUAUUAACACACCAAAUUAUACAAGAUGUACAAAGAGGAGGGCAGCAAAACGCCAAAAAUACACAGGGCCCAAAACAGAUCGGUUACCCCAUAACAGCCACCAAACCAGAAAAAAACAGCAGCCUAAAAAACACAGUAGCAGCAAAACACUGCUGAACCGCCCCACAAGCCACACCAAAAGUCCCAAACACCUCUAAAACUACCCCAGCUAUAUCAGUAAACAUUCCUUGGGGUUCAAACAGCACUCGUAAUAGAGGCAGGGAGAACUCUUUAAUCUUGAUCGCACCCAAUUCCAAGAGAGCACCUUAAUCUCAUCAACAGUUUCUCCCGGAUCUUUCACAAGAUCGUUAAAAAUCCUAUCGUCCAUAGGACAGCAUGCCAAACCAUCCAAUAGCCUUUGCAAAGCCUUUUCUUCCCAAUCUCCCCACUCCAACAUUCAAAAUGUUGAAACAAAGAUUGAGGUGUAAUAAAAUUAAUCUCUAACCACCCACACACCAUUGCCCAAACCUUGAAGAUCAUAUUGCAAUGAAGGAAAAGAUGCCCUGCUGUUUCUCCCACUUGGUCACAAAACACACACCUAACCGAGGCCUCCGGGGGUAAAAUUCUCCGCCUUAAGAGGUUAUCUUUGGUAGGGAUCCGAUCGAGAAGUAAUUGCCAAUAGAAAGCCACCACUUUGGAGGGUACCAGACUCUUCCACACCGACCCAAACACCAUUUCUUUAGUUUCCAACAAAAACUCAUGAGGCGACACCAAUCCCACUAGAAACUCAUAGGACGAGCUUACCGUAAAUUUCCCUUCAUCCUCCAACUUCCACCACCACGAGUCAACCGACACCGUUUUCACCCACCCCUCUACCUCCCCAAGGAGACUUUGAAAAAGACCCUCUUCCCACACAAAAAGGUUCCUCCGCGAAAGAAGAUUCCAAGAUCCUCCUUCAACGCCGUCCAUCCAAACCUCCCUCACCGUAGCAUCUUUUUGGCUAGAGAUCAAGAAAAGUCUCGGGUAUGUUAAACACAGAGCCUCAUUACCUACCCAAUGAUCUAGCCAGAACCGAGUGUUCUCCCCAUUCCCUACCUUCCUCACUACCUCCGUAUUGAACCAAUUCACCCCACCGCCCCUUCCAAGGACACAACAUCCAACCACCACCUUGAAGCAUAUGAUGGCCAAGAGUUUUCGCCCGGAUUCAAAAGAUAGUUAAUUCGAUUCCCAUACUUACAACAAAGGACCUCCUUCCACAAAGCUUGAUCCGGUUGAAUCAACCUCCACCUCCAUUUAUCUAAAAGACUAAAAUUCACCAUCCUUAUGUCUCUAACUCCCAAACCCCCCUAAGAUCGAGGUAGGCAUACCGUCGACCACUUUACCCAACAAACCUUCUUACCCCCCAUCACACCUCCCCAAAGAAAUUCUCUUUCAAUUCUCACCACCGUCUUCCACACCUUUACCGGUAACUUGAAAAAAGAAAGGUAAAAAAUUGGGAUUGCAUUCAACACCGCAUUUAAAAGUACCACACGCCCUCCAAGACUUACAUACUUAUUGCCCCAAGAAUUUAAUCUCUGCCUGCCUUAAACAAUCCAACAAGGGCUUCCAAGUAGACAACCUCCUCGGAUUUGCUCCCACCGGUAAACCCAAGUAUUUGAACUGAAGAGAGCCUUAACUUAAUGUUCAACAAACAUCAAGAAAUAAAGCCUCAAAUGUUUAUGCAUCGGCAAAAGGUUGAUAAAAAGAUAUCUACAUCUUCCAAUAUUUCAUGCACAUAGACAAUCCCAAUUCACAUAUAACACUCUAUUGCAGCAUACAAAUGAGCUUCCCAAUUAGUAAAGUGUUCUGCUUCAUAGAAAGCUACUGAUUAUAGCCCGAGUUAAACAACUUUAACACAACAAAACAACAUGGGAGCAUAUGGCUUUGCUAGUGGAAAUCAGAAUGUGACCAAGUUAUAUUUAGUGGUCAUAGGACAUGAGCAUGAAACCAAUGAUGCAAGUUAUAGUUGGUGGCAGCAAUUUUGCGGUUGAAUUCAGCAUUCAGGAUCAGCGUAAUACUCCUUCCAUUCUUUUUUUAGUUGUCGUUUAUUGGGAAAAACCCAUGUCCCACAUCGGAUAGAUAAGACUCUUGAGAAGAGUUUAUAAAGAGGAGGCAAUCUUCACCUUACAAGCCGGUUUUGUAAGGAUGAGUUAGGCCCCAAAUUUCAACAUGGUAUCAGAGUGCUCGGCUACCUACCGAUUCACGCACCAAGCCCAAAGAGUGAUGGGCGUGACGAGGUGUAUUGGGAAAAACCCAUGUCCCACAUCGGAUAGAUAAGGAUGAGUUAGGCCCCAAAUUUCAACAUCGUUUUAAGGUUAUUUACACAUACCAAGAGAAAAACCAAUAAAUUUUACAGUAUUACUUUUGAUGGAAUUAUUUGUCUUUUUUCUAUAAUACUCUUAACUAUUUAUUAUAUCAUUCUACCUAUUUCUCUAUCUCCAAUAAAUAGUUAAGGGUAGUAUUAAAAAAACAUUUGUUAAUGUUGUAUCGAACUCUGAAAACAACAAGUAAAUAAAAAUCAUUUAUGUACAAAAACGACGGUUAAAAAGGAACAAAUAGAGUAAUAAAGCAAUUGCAGUUGUAUAUAACUCAAAUACCUGUAUUGCUUUGAGUGAGGUGCAUCUCUGACUAAUAACAUUUUCCCCACAUCUAACAUAUGACUCACUGUAUAAAGAAGGCAAACAUGAAAUUGAACUGAUCAGAUUUGAAAAUCUACACAAAAAUUAAUUGUGAAGUGGUUACAGAUACAAGCUUAUUAUUUACCCAAAGAAUAAUCUUCAGUUCUUCUCUGAAGAUCUUUAACAGUAGGAAUGUGCUCCACAGGAACCACUAAGUAAUGCCUAAAAUUUGCCAAGUUCAAAUUGAUCACCUCAAUAAGUUGAUUUUGAAUAGACAAAUUAUUUUGCAGCUUAUGGCAUAAGCGUUUAUGAAUAAGUCAUUUCUAUAACACUUUCAAUUAUGAAAUUGAUACAGAAUCAUAUCGGAAUCGAAGGUUAAGGUAUGAUUAAGAAUUGGAAAUACCUGAAAGCAGAUGGAUUAAUAUCCCGAAAAGCAACAACCUUAUCAUCCUGUAAUUUGAGAUUUGGAAAGUUAGAAAGAAAAGAGGAAACAGAAACAACAAAAUUGAAAGAUAAACACACGAAGACUAACAGAGUGGAGAAUGGUAUUGGAGUUGGAUUUGGUGGCUAUGUUACAGAAAACACACGACCCUGUCGCUGCAAUCAUUCCCGCCAUUGCCCAUAAACAUACAAUACCUCUUCUUUUACUACCUUUGCUUUGUAAUUACUCCCCAUAUUACUGUUAUAUUAUAACCAAAAUUUUACUUUUACUUUUACCGUUGAAUGAAUGUAUAUAAUCUAUAUUAUAAAUCCGAUAUAUUUUUUAUGCAAUGAAUUUAAAAUGGGAAAUUUUAUUUAUAAUAAUGAUGGAAGAGUAAAUAAUUUUACUUGUUUUAUAUAAUUAAUGUCUCGUAGACAUCAGUUUAGGAAUCAAAAAUAAAUAUUGAAAAUAGCUUCUUCUUUUCGUAAAAAAAACAUUUUUUUUACACUUUUAAAAGUUUUUUUUUUUGGGUCCAGUAGCCUAGUGGAUAUGGCUAACUGAGCUAAGCUCACGGGGACUACACUUUUAAAAGUUUAACUAUACAAAUUUUAAACUAUUUUUACUAUAUAUUUUUUUAUGAUGGUCGGAGUUAGAACUCCGGACCUUGCAUAUAUCAUGUAUUGUUCAUAUCAACUGAACUAAACUCACGAUGACUAUUUUUACUAUAUUUUUUAUCUUAACUUCGACUCUAGAGACAUUUGUUAGCAUUUUUUUUAAAACAAAUCAAUUUUUUAGAAUUUGUUCUGAAAAAAUUAUGCGAGAAGAGAUUAACUCACUUAACAUUAAAUUAAAAUUUGUUAUUAAUUGUUAGCUAUUACGCAGAAUCAAAGCUUGUUGUGAG
rnacentral:lncRNA from 1 species